rnacentral:tRNA from 1 species
GGGGCGAUCGUCCAACAGGAGGACGUCGGCGCCGCAAGCCGAAGAUCCGGGUGCGAAUCCCGGUCGUCUCCA